AGUUGGAGAGGUGGACAGAAGGUCGCACAGGCAUCUUAUGCCUACACAUACCUGCCGCAGGCAGAGUUCUUUUGCUCUGCGUGACUGUGGUGGUGCCCCCACUGAAGCAGACCCUGCCAUCUUUAAUUCCCUGGACAUCAACAUGUAUCCGGCAGAAGGGGAGGCAAAGAGACCAUAAAGUGUAGUACAGGAGGUUUUUAUAAGCCAGCCCUGGAGAUACACUCAGCUCCAGUUGCAAGAAACUUACAACAAAACUUGAAGGUGAUAAGG